UUCUUCUCCCCAGAGCUGCCCA
rnacentral:misc_RNA from 1 species